rnacentral:rRNA from 1 species
GGGAUUGCCCUAGUAACGGCGAGUGAAGCGGCAACAGCUCAAAUUUGAAAGCUAGCCUUCGGGUUCGCAUUGUAAUUUGUAGAGGAUGAUUUGGGGAAGCCGCCUGUCUAAGUUCCUUGGAACAGGACGUCAUAGAGGGUGAGAAUCCCGUAUGUGACAGGAAAUGGCACCCUAUGUAAAUCUCCUUCGACGAGUCGAGUUGUUUGGGAAUGCAGCUCUAAAUGGGAGGUAAAUUUCUUCUAAAGCUAAAUAUUGGCGAGAGACCGAUAGCGCACAAGUAGAGUGAUCGAAAGAUGAAAAGCACUUUGGAAAGAGAGUUAAAAAGCACGUGAAAUUGUUGAAAGGGAAGCGCUUGCAAUCAGACUUGUUUAAACUGUUCGGCCGGUCUUCUGACCGGUUUACUCAGUUUGGACAGGCCAGCAUCAGUUUCGGCGGCCGGAUAAAGGCUCUGGGAAUGUGGCCUCCACUUCGGUGGAGGUGUUAUAGCCCAGGGUGUAAUACGGCCAGCCGGGACUGAGGUCCGCGCUUCGGCUAGGAUGCUGGCGUAAUGGUUGUAAGCGACCCGUCUUGAAACACGGACCAAGGAGUCUAACAUCUAUGCGAGUGUUCGGGUGUCAAACCCCUGCGCGUAAUGAAAGUGAACGGAGGUGGGAACCCGCAAGGGUGCACCAUCGACCGAUCCUGAUGUCUUCGGAUGGAUUUGAGUAAGAGCAUAGCUGUUGGGACCCGAAAGAUGGUGAACUAUGCCUGAAUAGGGUGAAGCCAGAGGAAACUCUGGUGGAGGCUCGCAGCGGUUCUGACGUGCAAAUCGAUCGUCAAAUUUGGGUAUAGGGGCGAAAGACUAAUCGAA